rnacentral:rRNA from 1 species
UAAAUUUUAUUUAUUAAUUUUAUUUAUUUAAGUAUUAUAUUUAAUAAAAAUAAUUUUAAUUCAGUAUAGUUUUAGUAUUUUUUAAAGAAAUAAUAAUUUUAAUAAUAGUUUAUUUGUAUUGUAAAAGAAAAUUGAAAUAAUUUGAAAAAUUUUUAUUUUAAAAGAAAAUUUAAUUUAUUGUACCUUGUGUAUCAGGGUUUAUUAAUUAAUUAAUUAUUAUAGUAAUUUUUCUCGAAUUUUAAAGAUUUAAUUAUAUAUAAAAGUUAUUGUGGAAUAAUUAUUUUUAAUAUAUAAUUAGAAAUGAAAUGUUAAUCGUUUUAAAAUAUAUCUAGUUUUUUAAGAAAUAAAUUUAAUUUAGAUUUAUAAAUUAAAAGUAUUAUUUAUUUAAUAUUUUUAAUUUAUAAAAUUAAUAUUUUAAGGGAUUAGCUUUAAAAUAAAUUUUUAAAUUUUAAAAAAGUAUUUAAUAAAUGUAAGCUUAAAAAUAGUUAUCAUUAAUAAAUUUGUUAUAAUUUAUUUUAAAUUUUUUAUUAUUUAUUAUAAAAUUAAAUUAUUUAUUAAAAUAUAAAUUUUAAUAUUAAUGAUUUAUAAAUUAUGGUAAAAUUAGUAUAUUUAAUUUAUAUAAAUUAUUUAAAUUGAGAGGUUUAAAUAAGGAAUUCGGCAAAUUAUAUAUUCACCUGUUUAUCAAAAACAUGUCUUUUUGUAUUUAAUUUAAAGUCUAACCUGCCCACUGAUAGAUAUUAAAGGGCCGCAGUAUUUUGACUGUGCGAAGGUAGCAUAAUCAGUAGUCUUUUAAUUGAAGGCUUGUAUGAAUGGUUGAAUGAGAUAUAUACUGUCUUUUUUAAAUUUUUAUAGAAUUUUAUUUUUUAAUUAAAAAGUUAAAAUAUAAUUAAAAGACGAGAAGACCCUAUAGAUCUUUAUUUUUUUUAAUUAUAAGUUAAAAAGAAUAAUUAAAUUUAUAGUUUUAUAAAAAAUUUUACUGGGGUGGUAUUAAAAUUUAAUUAACUUUUAUUAUUUGUUUACAUUAAUAUAUGUAUAUUUGAUCCAAUUUUAUUGAUUAAAAAAUUAAGUUACCUUAGGGAUAACAGCGUAAUUUUUUUUUAGAGUUCUUAUCGACAAAAAAGAUUGCGACCUCGAUGUUGGAUUAAGAAUUAUUUUUAGGUGUAGAAGUUUAAAGUUUAGGUCUGUUCGACCUUUGAAUUCUUACAUGAUCUGAGUUCAAACCGGCGUAAGCCAGGUUGGUUUCUAUCUUUAAUAAAUUAUUAUAUUAUAGUACGAAAGGACCUAAUAUAAAAAAUAUAAAUUUUAAAUUUAUGAAUUAUAUUAAUAUUUAAUAA